GGUCCAGUGUGUAGUGGUUAUCACGUCUGCUUUACACGCAGAAGGUCGGCGGUUCGAUCCCGCCCUGGAUCA
rnacentral:tRNA from 1 species